AACGAACGCUGGCGGCAUGCCUAACACAUGCAAGUCGAACGAGAUCUUCGGGUCUAGUGGCGCACGGGUGCGUAACGCGUGGGAAUCUGCCCUUUGGUUCGGAAUAACAGUUGGAAACGACUACUAAUACCGGAUGAUGACGAAAGUCCAAAGAUUUAUCGCCAGAGGAUGAGCCCGCGUAGGAUUAGCUAGUUGGUGUGGUAAAGGCGCACCAAGGCGACGAUCCUUAGCUAGUCUGAGAGGAUGAUCAGCCACACUGGGACUGAGACACGGCCCAGACUCCUACGGGAGGCAGCAGUGGGGAAUAUUGGACAAUGGGCGAAAGCCUGAUCCAGCAAUGCCGCGUGAGUGAUGAAGGCCUUAGGGUUGUAAAGCUCUUUUACCCGGGAUGAUAAUGACAGUACCGGGAGAAUAAGCUCCGGCUAACUCCGUGCCAGCCGCCGCGGUAA
rnacentral:rRNA from 1 species